GUGAAUAUGCUUAAUGCCACCAAAUUGCACAUUAUAAAUGGUUGCCGUGGCAAAUUUUGUUAUGUAUAUUUGACCACACAAAAGAACUAUGCAUAACCAACUUGAGGUCACAUGUUAGUCACUUUAGGAGCUUGUAAAUAAGCUUCUUCGCUGUCCUCCUUAUCCUGUACACCAAUAAAGGAGGGACCAAAUUUGGAGUAAACAUCUCAUGCCAACUACCAAUGUCUGGUACCAAUUCCCAAAGAACAACUCUCAAAUGUUGGUGUUUAUUCCCCAUUUAAAACAAAAAUGAAACAAACUUGGUUUCUGUAGUCAUAUAAGCUUCUGAUAAACUAAAUUCCGUCAUUCCUAUAAAAUAAAUAUUACCACCAAACAGAGGGGCAACGUAAGCUGCAUCUUUCCAUGAGUUUCUAGUCUUGAUAUUUAUUCUCAAAUUUCUUCAUCAACUUACUGAUAAGUUGGAAGGAAGCCCAGGUAUUGAGGAAAAUCCUGGAUCUCUCUUGCUUUAUUUUCUGAAUGAAAUAAAUAACGUAUAUAGUUCUGAAAUGGAGAUGGACAUGAAAGCCUUAUUUUUGGUUGUAAGAAAACAGGAAAUAACUAAAUGAGUUUUGAUCCUUUAUAUUGGACAUAGGACCUUCUUACCUGCCUGCCUCUGUUUUCAAACAAUUUGGAUGCAGAAAUUCCGAGCUCUUAUAGCUCUUUCACUGAAGCUCGUUAGAAUAGGGCAAUAACUACUUCUAAAAUGCUCUCUCAGCUCAGAAUUCUUUUUUUUUUUUUUUUUUUUUUUUUNUUUUUUUUUUUUUUUUUUUUUGUAUUGAAAACCAAAUAAAUGCAUGUUAUAGACUCUUAAAGCACUAAGGGAGGACAAAUAUCUGAUUGAUCUACUCAUUUUAAAGAAUUAGGCACUUGAUGCCUAUGGCUCAGAGCUACUUAUAAUCCCAGUAUCUUGUGAAUGGUUAGUGGUACAACAAAGCCCGGGAUGUGGGUUAUUUGUUCUUUUUAGUUGGAUUUAGUCAAAUAGUCAAAAGAUUAUGACGAGACUGUAUUAAAAAUAUAGAGCUAUAAUAUGAUAACAUCAUACCAACCCUUGGUUUUCAUGCCAGUAUCAUUCUAUAAGAGGAAGGAUGCCUAUUUGGCCAGGGCCUCCAUUCACAGAAGAUCUAGAAUCUUUUUUUUUUUUCNUUUUAGGCCGCACCUGUGGCUUAUGGAAGUUCCCAGGCUAGGGGUUAAAUCAGAGCUGUAGCUGCUGGCCUACAUCAAUCACAGCCAUAGCAAUGCCAGAUCCAUACCCUGUCUGCAACCUACACCACAGCUCAUGACAGUACUGGAUCCUUAACCCUCUGAGCCAGGCCAGGGAUUGAACCCACAACCUCAUGGACACCAGUCGGGUUUGUUUCCACUGAGCCACACCGGAACUCCCUGGAAUCUUAGGUUUAGAUGUUUCUCCUUAAUUUUCUCUGGGGAGUACAAGGAUAUUACCUAAUCUUUUCAGGUUAAAAGUGUCAAUAUGUUAAUAUAGGAAGUAUUUUAAAAACCUCUUUUUGGCAUUUUUUCCACUUUUAAUGUCUCAGAUUCUCAAAGUGGACAUCACUGGAAUCUUUCUGGAGCCCUGAGUGGUCUUGUCUGUAGCUGUUGGCCACAUAGGCAUGUGCUGCUCACUGUGGAGAAGUAUGCUCUGCUGUUUGAUAGCUCUCACUGUCAGAAAUUCCAGCUGUCCAGACCCCAGCCUCCUGACUCAUAAUAGGCUUUCAGAAUCGCUCAGGACUCAAGAGUAACUGAACCAAAUCUAGAAACCGUUAGAAGAAACCAGCACGGCAGAGAAGAGCACAGGUUGUGGAUUAGAGAAGUUUCACUGGAUGAUGCACAGAUUGGCUGUCGAUAUUUUUAAAGGACCUGUGAAACCCGAGAAGCAUUCAAGGGGCGGGGAUGAGGCAGAAGCUACCAAGAAAAGAAAAGCAGAGGAGAAGAAGGAAGAGAGUGGGCGAAGAGGAGCAGCAGAAGUGAAGAAAGAGGACCAGGGAGAGGGAUGGCAGAGAGUGGGCUCUCUGAAGAGAGAAAACCCAGAACCCUGAAAAUUAGCAUUCUGUGAGGGAAUAUCAUGCCUCUACAGUGUGGUGUGUGGAUGGGGCAGGGGAGCAGGCAACGGAGAAGGUGCACUGGAACUUCAUCUCAACCAUCAAUCCAAAGCCAUAGCAGCCAUCACACUUCAGCACUUUAUACAAGAUGAACUUGAUGGAAGUGUUAUGGGUUGCAUUUUGAUAGCUUUGUAAUGGAUCAAUCAGACUAAAUUGAAAGAAAAAAAAAUCGUCUUUAGUUACCUCAGUUGAAACAAAGCCAUGUACUUUAAAGAAAAAUGCAGAGUGGGAGCGGAUCUUCAAAGCUGUGGGGCUCAAGGCAUCUUUAAAGAUGAAUGUCCUUCCCUUCUGGCCCCUUCCUCUCUAUCCCUCUCUUCUCUCCCCCUCCCCUCCUCCCUCUGUCUCAGCAGACUCUUCACAUCUAAUUUACUCUCUGUUCACCACCAAGUGACUUCAUCCUUCUCCUCUCUGUAUCUUUUCUGGUCCCUCCAAACUUUGGAUUACACAUGGCAUUAUGUCACCAUUAGCUCACUGCUGACUGGCACAGUUCUUCGGUGUUUCCCUUUAUACAUUUUGGAAACGAAGAUGCCAAACGGCUUAACUCACCCUUUCAGAGCUACACGAUGUGUCAUAUGCUAGAUUAUAAGUCUUCUGGCCGUUCAUCUUGGUGCCAAUUUUCAAGCUUCUCACCUGGGGGCAGGGCCAGGGUAGGGGCACAGUGGUAUGAAAUGUAGGUGCUUAGGCAAAGGAGAUGCCUAAGUGGUUGGGAUGAGAAAUUACCCAGGAGAGAUCCUCAGACAUCUCUAGUGCAGGCAUAGCUGCAAAGCAUUGUAAGAUAAUGGGCACAAAUGGGGUAGAACAGUGCUGAGUUGUAAUGCUGUCGAAUACUGUGGGUGCAACACAGUCUCCAGACUCCGUUUGUAAAAGACAAGACCAGGCACAUAGGAAAGUUGUGUUAGCUGUAAAAGAACAAACAAACAUUUGAAAGGUUGAUGAAUCACUGCACAUUCGUUCAUCUCCCUUAUACGAUAUCAAAUCUCAGAAAGGCAGCUGUUCACAUUUUCGGGUGCCUGGUAAAUCUUCUCAAGCGGCUGAGGAUUCAAUAUCAUGCAUAUGACAAAAUUAGGCAAGUCAACUGUGUGUUACAUGAGUGGCUCAUUUCGCCUGAUGUUCUAUUGCAUUUGCAGCUGCAGCUGCGUCUCAGACACGUAACAUUAACUGAUGUUCAUAAUGAUAACACUGAGUCAUUAAGAAAACCUGUAUUAUGUCUGGUACAGUAGACUUGAGAAGUAGAGAGAUGCAGUGGAGAAAGAACUAAGAUUCAGGAGUUCCUGCUUAAUUGCAGACGUGGAGAGAGGUGAGCUGCUUAUGCCUUUGCCCUUCAGCAAUAGGAUUCCUGUGAGGCAGGCACAGUGAUACCCAUUCUACAGCUGAGAAAACAUGUUUAGAUGUGUUAGUAAAUUGUACAGAAUCCGGUUAGGAACGCAAAUCCAUCUUACUCCAGAACUUGCGUUCUUUCCUCACACCACCAAAUUUGCUGGGUGUUUUCGUUUGUUUGUUUGUUUUUGUUUUUGGUAGAGUCUAACUUGUGGCACAGAUGAUCUUAUCUACAAAAUGGAAACAGAUCAUGGCCAAGGAGAGUACAUUUGUAGUUCCCAGGGAGGACAGCGGAGGGAGUGGAAUGGGCGGGCAGUUCCAGGUUUUUGGAUGCAAACUCUUAUAUUUGGAAUGGAUGAGCAACGGGACCCUACAGGACAGCACAGCACAGGGAAAUGUUGUGUGCCCGGGGUCACAUUGUUGUACAACAGAAAUUGAAGAAAUGUAAAUCAAUUACACUUGAAUAAAAAAAAAAAAAAA
rnacentral:lncRNA from 1 species